ACAAAAUCCCCGGGGCAGAAAAAGAGGAAGAAAGAGGAGAGGCCGGGAGGAAAAUAAAAAGAGGACUGAACAAGGUGUGGGGUGGGAGAGGGGGAGCGCCGGGCUGGGUCCCCCCCCGUGCAAUGGGGAGCACAUGGGGAGCAGCAGAGCCGUGCCCAGUGGACCCCCCUCACCUCGAGGCUUCCUUAGGGCUGUUUUUGAUUCUGCUCCUCCUCUUUCUUGCAGCCGGACCCCCCCGUGGCCGUGUCCUCCUCAUCCCCCCCACCCCGUGAUGCCCUCACACCUGGUGUGGGGCCCAGCUCAGCCACCCUCCCCCGGCAGCCUGCAGCCAAGGACCCCCCCGCUCUCCGCAGCCCCUCCGUCAGCAUCUCCAGCCCCUUCACCUCCCUGGGCCCGCUGCCCCACGCCGCCCUCAACGCAGAGCUGCCGUCCUCUGCUGUGUACGUGGGCCUCCAGCUCCCAGCGCAGCUCGGCAGUGCCGUGUGUGGGCGCUCAGCCACGGUGGCUUUCGAGUCGCACCCUCACCUGAGAGCCUCCACGCUGCCAUCAUCCCUCCCCAGCGCCCCUGUGGGGAAACCGUAAGUGGGGAUGGAGGGACGGAGGGGUCAA